rnacentral:rRNA from 1 species
UACGGAGGGGGCUAGCGUUGUUCGGAAUUACUGGGCGUAAAGGGCUCGUAGGCGGCCAACUAAGUCCGACGUGAAAUCCCCAGGCUUAACCUGGGAACUGCGUCGGAUACUGGAUGGCUUGAAUCCGGGAGAGGGAUGCGGAAUUCCAGGUGUAGCGGUGAAAUGGCGUAGAUAUCUGGAGGAACACCGGUGGCGAAGGCGACAUCCUG